AGGGCACCACCAGGAGUGGAGCCUGCGGCUUAAUUUGACUCAACACGGGAAAUCUCACCAGGCCCGGACACCGGAAGGAUUGACAGAUUGAGAGCUCUUUCUUGAUUCGGUGGGUGGUGGUGCAUGGCCGUUCUUAGUUGGUGGAGCGAUUUGUCUGGUUAAUUCCGAUAACGAACGAGACUCUGGCCUACUAACUAGACGUCGGAUCCCUUUGUGGGUCCGUCGCAGCUUCUUAGAGGGACGGGCGGCGUUUAGCCGCACGAGAUUGAGCAAUAACAGGUCUGUGAUGCCCUUAGAUGUGGGGGGCCGCACCCCCGCUACACUGGAGGUAUCAUGCUGUGUUCCCUAUUUGGAAGGACUGGGUAACCCGUUGAAACACCUUCUGAAUGGGAAGGGGAGAUGCGAUUAUUUCUCUUGAACGAGGAAUUCCUUCUAAGUGCGGGUCAUCAACUAGCGCUGAUUGAUUACGUCCCUUUGUAUACAACGACCGUCGCUCUCUCUACUGGAUGUAAAGCUGAG
rnacentral:rRNA from 1 species